AGCCAUGCAUGUCUAAGUAUAAACAACUUUAUACUGUGAAACUGCGAAUGGCUCAUUAAAUCAGUUAUAGUUUAUUUGAUAAUACCUACUACUUGGAUAACCGUAGUAAUUCUAGAGCUAAUACAUGCGAAAAACCUCGACUUCUGGAAGAGGUGUAUUUAUUAGAUACAGAACCAAUGCGGGGCAACCCGGUUUCUUUGGUGAUUCAUAAUAACUUUGCGAAUCGAAUGGCUUUACGCCGUCGAUGAUUCAUUCAAAUUUCUGCCCUAUCAACUUUCGAUGGUAAGGUAUUGGCUUACCAUGGUGACAACGGGUGACGGAGAAUUAGGGUUCGAUUCCGGAGAGGGAGCCUGAGAAACGGCUACCACUUCCAAGGAAGGCAGCAGGCGCGCAAAUUACCCAAUCCUGACACAGGGAGGUAGUGACAAAAAAUAACAAUACAGGGCCUUUUUAGGUCUUGUAAUUGGAAUGAGUACAAUUUAAACCCCUUAACGAGGAACAAUUGGAGGGCAAGUCUGGUGCCAGCAGCCGCGGUAAUUCCAGCUCCAAUAGCGUAUAUUAAAGUUGUUGCAGUUAAAAAGCUCGUAGUUGGAUUUUGGGGUGUGCUUGCUCGUCUUGCCGUAAGGUAAGCACGGACGGGUGCACUCUUACUUCUGGAAGGCUGUGUGGGCCCUUAACUGUGGCGUGCAUAGAGUUCCGGACUUUUACUGUGAGAAAAUUAGAGUGUUCAAAGCAGGCUUUGCUGCCCGAAUACUUCAGCAUGGAAUAAUGGAAUAGGAUCACGGUCUUAUUUUGUUGGUUUCUAAGAUCGAGAUAAUGAUUAAUAGGGAUAGUUGGGGGCAUUAAAUAUUUAAUUGCCAGAGGUGAAAUUCUUGGAUUUAUGAAAGAUUAACUUCUGCGAAAGCAUUUGCCAAAAAUGUUUUCGUUAAUCAAGAACGAAAGUUACGGG
rnacentral:rRNA from 1 species